AAGCUUCUCCCGUUUUCUCUCCCUCUCUCAUGAAGACACGAACACUAACUCCCGAUCUUGGUCACCCUCUUUCUCUCUUCCUCUCUUGUAUCGUUUAUGUCAUUAACAAGAUGACGAGGCUACUAUAUAGUUCAUGGUUUGACGCCAACCGUCAGCUCAAGGCUAUGGCAGCGACGGAGCACGGCAAACAUGCUACACACAGUAGAGCCCCUAUAUGCAAAUAUCCAUCUAUUCUUAUUUUUCUAUGAAUCGAUGGUCUAGUCCUCAUUUGUUGACCUUGCUGCAGAAGACCAUGCCGCUUGGAGUUGUGAGGUAAUUGUGAACCUAUUUAGUGCUUAAGGUUUGAUUAUUAAAGAAACAAGUUUGAUUGAUAAUGGAUUUUGGUUUUGUCUUUUGGUUUCUGGUGAUGAUGUAAACUGGAAUUGAUAUGGGUCAUGAGUUCCUUGGAUUGAGAAGCAAGACAAGGAACAGAAGAAGAAAGGUACCUUUUGAUUGAAUGAAUGAAAUUGAGAGAGAGACCAUAACAAUGGUAAGUCCGUAUCUUUUGAUUGGAAUUGGUUCCAUAAGCAAUUGAUUCAAUCGUUGAUUAUUUUGUUUUUAAUGAAAACAGAAGAAGGUUCGAGUUCUCAAUCUAGAACAAGACUACAUGCUUUGAUACAAUAGACAUCCUAUUGAAAAUUGAAGUGAGAGUCUUGUUGCAUGUUCUUCAAAUAUAAAGGUUUUGUUUAUAUUGAAUUAUGGUGGUAUGGUCUUGGUCAUGAGUUAAAGUAAAUAUUGUUCUACAAUUUCUUUUGGACGCAAGUGAAUUAUGGAUGUGAGAUUAGCCAUAUAAAUAUAUGGUAUAUUUAGAUUACAGAGUCUAUUGUGAAUUGGUGAUCACGUUAUGAGGUACCAAAUUGGGUUAAGUUUCCAUUUGAAUUUUGUAACAGAUUUGGUUAUGUUGUGAAUCUUGAAUGGUUAAGUUAAUGGAAAUCAAUUUGGCUCAUGCGAGCUUGUAUAAUUUUUCUAAGGGUCUUUGCUAAUAAUUCU
rnacentral:lncRNA from 1 species